GACGAACGCUGGCGGCGUGCCUAAUACAUGCAAGUUGAGCGAUGAAGCUUGGUGCUUGCACCAAUUUGAAGAGCAGCGAACGGGUGAGUAACGCGUGGGGAAUCUGCCUUUGAGCGGGGGACAACAUUUGGAAACGAAUGCUAAUACCGCAUAAUAACUUUAAACAUAAGUUUUAAGUUUGAAAGAUGCAAUUGCAUCACUCAAAGAUGAUCCCGCGUUGUAUUAGCUAGUUGGUGAGGUAAAGGCUCACCAAGGCGAUGAUACAUAGCCGACCUGAGAGGGUGAUCGGCCACAUUGGGACUUGGACACGGCCCAAACUCCUACGGGAGGCAGCAGGAGGGAAUCUUCGGCCAUGGACGGAAGUCUGACCGAGCAACGCCGCGGGAGUGAAGAAGGUUUUCGGAUCGUAAAACUCUGUUGGUAGAGAAGAACGUUGGUGAGAGUGGAAAGCUCAUCAAGUGACGGUAACUACCCAGAAAGGGACGGCUAACUACGUG
rnacentral:rRNA from 1 species